AUUGAACGCUGGCGGCAGGCCUAACACAUGCAAGUCGGACGGUAGCACAGAGGAGCUUGCUCCUUGGGUGACGAGUGGCGGACGGGUGAGUAAUGUCUGGGGAUCUGCCCGAUAGAGGGGGAUAACCACUGGAAACGGUGGCUAAUACCGCAUAACGUCGCAAGACCAAAGAGGGGGACCUUCGGGCCUCUCACUAUCGGAUGAACCCAGAUGGGGUUAGCUAGUAGGCGGGGUAAUGGCCCACCUAGGCGACGAUCCCUAGCUGGUCUGAGAGGAUGACCAGCCACACUGGAACUGAGACACGGUCCAGACUCCUACGGGAGGCAGCAGUGGGGAAUAUUGCACAAUGGGCGCAAGCCUGAUGCAGCCAUGCCGCGUGUAUGAAGAAGGCCUUCGGGUUGUAAAGUACUUUCAGCGGGGAGGAAGGCGAUGCGGUUAAUAACCGCAUCGAUUGACGUUACCCGCAGAAGAAGCACCGGCUAACUCCGUGCCAGCCGCCGCCGUAA
rnacentral:rRNA from 1 species